ACUGAGCGGCGGACGGGUGAGUAACGCGUGGGCAACCUGCCUUACACAGGGGGAUAACAGUUAGAAAUGACUGCUAAUACCGCAUAAGACCACAGGACCGCAUGGUCCGGUGGUAAAAACUCCGGUGGUGUAAGAUGGGCCCGCGUCUGAUUAGGUAGUUGGCGGGGUAACGGCCCACCAAGCCGACGAUCAGUAGCCGACCUGAGAGGGUGACCGGCCACAUUGGGACUGAGACACGGCCCAGACUCCUACGGAAGGCAGCAG
rnacentral:rRNA from 1 species